CUGACACCCCUGGAAACUACAGUCCUCUAGACAACUGCAGAAAAAGCACUGUAAGGCAGCAGCAAUGCACGCUUCCUCACAUUGCCCUGCCAAUGUGCAUCAAGUUGAACUAGAGGAACAACUGCUAAGACUUAGUGUGAUCCAUUCAGUCCUGGGCUUGCUUACUGAGACUGCA
ensembl:misc_RNA